AGUGAACGCUGGCGGUAGGCCUAACACAUGCAAGUCGAACGGCAGCACAGUAAGAGCUUGCUCUUACGGGUGGCGAGUGGCGGACGGGUGAGGAAUACAUUGGAAUCUACUUUUUCGUGGGGGAUAACGUAGGGAAACUUACGCUAAUACCGCAUACGACCUACGGGUGAAAGCAGGGGAUCUUCGGACCUUGCGCGAUUGAAUGAGCCGAUGUCGGAUUAGCUAGUUGGCGGGGUAAAGGCCCACCAAGGCGACGAUCCGUAGCUGGUCUGAGAGGAUGAUCAGCCACACUGGAACUGAGACACGGUCCAGACUCCUACGGGAGGCAGCAGUGGGGAAUAUUGGACAAUGGGCGCAAGCCUGAUCCAGCCAUACCGCGUGGGUGAAGAAGGCCUUCGGGUUGUAAAGCCCUCUUGUUGGGAAAGAAAAGCAGCAGGUUAAUACCCCGCUGUUCUGACGGUACCCAAAGAAUAAGCACCGGCUAACUUCGUG
rnacentral:rRNA from 1 species